UACGAGAUACAGACUUAACUGCGGGAGC
rnacentral:sRNA from 1 species